AUUGAACGCUGGCGGCAGGCCUAACACAUGCAAGUCGAACGAGUGGCGGACGGGUGCGUAAUGUCUGGGAACCUGCCUGAUGGAGGGGGAUAACUACUGGAAACGGUAGCUAAUACCGCAUACCAUCGGAUGUGCCCAGAUGGGAUUAGCUAGUAGGUUGGGUAAAGGCUCACCUAGGCGACGAACCCUAGCUGGUCUGAGAGGAUGACAAGCCACACUGGAACUGGGAAGCGUUCCAGACUCCUACGGGAGGCAGCAGUGGGGAAUAUUGCACAAUGGGCGCAAGCCUGAUGCAGCCAUGCCGCGUGUAUGAAGAAUGCCUUCGGGUUGUAUGAUACUUUCAGCGGGGAGGCGGUACCCGCAGAAGAAGCACCGGCUAACUCCGUGCCAGCAGCCGCGGUAAUUC
rnacentral:rRNA from 1 species